rnacentral:rRNA from 1 species
UGUGUGAAUGUUAAUAUUUAGUCUGACCUGCCCACUGAGUUUUAAAGGGCUGCGGUAAUUUGACCGUGCGAAGGUAGCAUAAUCAAUAGUCUUUUAAUUGGAGGCUUGAAUGAAUGGUUUGACGGAGGAAAAUCUGUCUCUUUAAUUAUAUUGAAGUUAACAUUUGUGUGAAAAGGCAUUAAUAUUUUAGAGUGACGAUAAGACCCUAUAAAAUUUUACAUGUUAUAUUAUUUGAUUGAAUUGUUGAGUUAAUUGUUAGGUGGUUUAUUGGUGUUUCGCUGGGGCGGCUUGAAUAUAAUGCUAACUGUUUAUAAUAUAAAAUAUUUAUUAAUAGAGAGAGGUCCUUUAUUAAGGAGGUAAGAGUAAGUUACUUUAGGGAUAACAGCAUAAUUUCUUUUGAGAGUUCGUAUUG